GGAGGAACAACAAACAACAAUACAGAGGUUGGCAAUGAGCAAGAAGGGAAUGCUCCUAGUGACCUAACAUGCCAAGGCCCCCAGCUACACCUAUCUAUCAAUGCUAGCUUACUAGCAGACUACCUGGCUUCCUACCUGCCUAUCUCUUUACUGAUCUGCUUGAAUGGAUGAUAUCCCCCGAUGAUAUCUAUUGAUGACAUCCACUAAUGAAUUCCAGCGAUAAUAUCUAGCAAUGAUCCCCUUUACUACGGAUACCUAGGCAGCAGUUACUUGAGCACACGAUCAAAAAUUUAGAGACAGAAAUUCAAAAAUCCAGA
rnacentral:sRNA from 1 species